CGCUGCGCGCGAGCUGACGAAGUGUACCAUACUAGGUACUGGCAAAGAUUGUGUAGCGGCGCUAUACAAUCUUUGGGUACAGGUGCCGCGUUAAUCAAAACUGCUGCAGGAAACAGCACAUCAACUUUGUUAUUAUUUUAAAUCAUUUCUGGUAAUGAAACCAAGGAUUCCUCAAAAGCGCCCUGGGCACUGUAGCUCGCAAGCCUGAUGAAACCUGUAUAGGCGUAGAGCUGGCCUCAGGUAGUAGAGGAGACAAUGAGAAGCAGUUACACAGUAUAGCCUGGCCUAGUGGGAGGUACAGUCAUGGUACAAUGAAUGUAGGAACUGAAAACCUACAUUACAUGUUAUAAAGGAGGAAGGGCGUGUAAUCCACGUGUGGACCGGGCUUGGAUUCGAACUGGACCGCAGAAGUGGAACUGGAAGGCGAGGAAAGAACCACCACGCCAACCUGACUCCCGAUGUAUCCAUGAACGUGGAAAUGUGACUGAACUUGAAGUGUGUGAUGCAACAGUAGCACAAAAAACAUGAUAAAGACGAGAUUUAGUAUGAUGCAGCAUUGCAGUGUAGGCAUUGCCAAAAAUUGCUGUUGGCUUACAAGCAGUAACAACAGUGGCUGUGGUGGAGGGUAGUGCAGUACAUAUGCUCAAGUUGGUGAAAUUAUUGAAUUUCGAAUCCAGUGUUCUUCAGCAAUUUCUCAUGGCUCCUGGAAAUAUAUGUGGUAAGACCAUCAGUUAUACCAGGCACGAAAUGGGACAGAGGGG